AGCAGUCGCCGCGGGAAUACGAAGGGUGCAAGCGUUACUCGGAAUUACUGGGCGUAAAGCGUGCGUAGGUGGUGGUUUAAGUCCGUUGUGAAAGCCCUGGGCUCAACCUGGGAAUUGCAGUGGAUACUGGGUCACUAGAGUGUGGUAGAGGAUAGUGGAAUUUCCGGUGUAGCAGUGAAAUGCGUAGAGAUCGGAAGGAACAUCUGUGGCGAAGGCGACUAUCUGGGCCAACACUGACACUGAGGCACGAAAGCGUGGGGAGCAAACAGGAUUAGAUACCCCCAGUAGUCCCUGUCUCUUAUA
rnacentral:rRNA from 1 species